UACGUAGGCAGCGAGCGUUGUUCGGAGUUACUGGGCGUAAAGGGUGUGUAGGCGGUUGUUUAAGUUUGGUGUGAAAUCUCCCGGCUCAACUGGGAGGGUGCGCCGAAUACUGAAUGACUAGAGUGCGGGAGAGGAAAGUGGAAUUCCUGGUGUAGCGGUGAAAUGCGUAGAUAUCAGGAGGAACACCGGUGGUGAAGACGGCUUUCUGGACCGUAACUGACGCUGAGACACGAAAGCGUGGGUAGCAAACAGG
rnacentral:rRNA from 1 species